rnacentral:rRNA from 1 species
UACGUAGGGUGCGAGCGUUGUCCGGAAUUAUUGGGCGUAAAGAGCUCGUAGGCGGUUUGUCGCGUCGACUGUGAAAACCUACAGCUUAACUGUGGGCUUGCAGUCGAUACGGGCAGACUUGAGUUCGGUAGGGGAGACUGGAAUUCCUGGUGUAGCGGUGAAAUGCGCAGAUAUCAGGAGGAACACCAAUGGCGAAGGCAGAUCUCUGGGCCGUAACUGACGCUGAGGAGCGAAAGCAUGGGGAGCGAACAGG